UGUAAGCGUAUACCAAAGUUGUUGCAGUUAAAACGCUCGUAGUCGGAAUUUGGCAGUUCCGGAUGUGUGCACGUCGUGUGCGCACUCCGCGGGGAUUGCUUUUGUGGUCUUGCGUAGGAUGAGGCACUUUUAUUAGUGAACGUCCUCACGCAACCACUUUUUACUGUGAGAAAAUCAGAGUGCUCAAAGCAGGCAUUUGCCGUGAAUGUAUUAGCAUGGAAUAAUAGAAUAGGACUUGGUUCUAUUUUGUUGGUUUGUUGGGACUGAGUAAUGAUUAAGAGGGACAGUUGGGGGCAUUUGUAUUUCGGUGCUAGAGGUGAAAUUCUUAGAUUACCGAAAGACAAACUGCUGCGAAAGCGUCUGCCAAGGAUGUUUUCAUUGA
rnacentral:rRNA from 1 species